GACGAACCGUGCAAACGUUGUUCGGAAUCACUGGGCUUAAAGGGCGCGUAGGCGGGCAUUCAAGUCAGAGGUGAAAUCCCCCAGCUUAACUGGGGAACUGCCUUUGAUACUGGGUGCCUCGAGUGAGGUAGGGGCGUGCGGAACUGAUGGUGGAGCGGUGAAAUGUGUUGAUAUCAUCAGGAACUCCGGUGGCGAAAGCGGCGCGCUGGACCUUAACUGACGCUGAGGCGCGAAAGCCAGGGGAGCAAACGGG
rnacentral:rRNA from 1 species